rnacentral:tRNA from 1 species
GGGCAAUUAGCUCAGCUGGUUCAGAGCAUCUGCCUUACAAGCAGAGGGUCGGCGGUUCGAAUCCGUCAUUGCCCA